rnacentral:rRNA from 1 species
CAGUAGCCGCGGUAAUACGAAGGGGGCUAGCGUUGUUCGGAUUUACUGGGCGUAAAGCGUGCGUAGGCGGCUUCUUAAGUCGGAUGUGAAAUCCCUGAGCUUAACUUAGGAAUUGCAUUCGAUACUGGGAAGCUAGAGUAUGGGAGAGGAUGGUAGAAUUCCAGGUGUAGCGGUGAAAUGCGUAGAGAUCUGGAGGAAUACCGAUGGCGAAGGCAGCCAUCUGGCCUAAUACUGACGCUGAGGUACGAAAGCAUGGGGAGCAAACAGGAUUAGAUACCCCCGUAGUCCCUGUCUCUUAUAC